AUUGAACGCUGGCGGCAUGCCUUACACAUGCAAGUCGAACGGCAGCACGGGAGCAAUCCUGGUGGCGAGUGGCGAACGGGUGAGUAAUAUAUCGGAACGUGCCCAGUCGUGGGGAUAACGUAGCGAAAGCUACGCUAAUACCGCAUACGAUCUAUGGAUGAAAGCGGGGGAUCGCAAGACCUCGCGCGAUUGGAGCGGCCGAUAUCAGAUUAGGUAGUUGGUGAGGUAAAGGCUCACCAAGCCGACGAUCUGUAGCUGGUCUGAGAGGAUGAUCAGUCACACUGGAACUGAGACACGGUCCAGACUCCUACGGGAGGCAGCAGUGGGGAAUAUUGGACAAUGGGCGAAAGCCUGAUCCAGCAAUGCCGCGUGCAGGAUGAAGGCCUCGGUUGUAACUAGCUUUGUACGGUAACGAAA
rnacentral:rRNA from 1 species